AGGUGUGCCCGGCUCACCUGGGAGCCGCGGUGCUGAUGACAUACCUGCAGCCCCGGGGGAAGCACAGAGAUAGUCUGCUGUCGCCCAGGGCAGGGGGGCUACAGCCGGAACGGCGCCGGGGGCAGCACUGGCCCCGACCCGGCCGCCGCAGGAUCCGAUGGGGAGGAGGAGUAGGAAGGAUCUCGGGAGAAGGAACUCGCCCUUAUCCUGCGGUGGGACGACGGGCCUGCUGCGCUCGACUGGGACGCGGGGCUCGGCCCGAUGCGCGUAGGUGUGGGUGAGCGUGUGGGGAAUUGCUGUUCGGGGAAGCCCCGCGGAGCCAGGUGCGGGGACAUCCGCUCCGGUGUCCACAGGGAGGAGGAGAAAGGAGCUUGUAUCCUUGGGAGGCCCCUAGCAGCCUUUUCUUGAUGUUCCUGUCCUUCACAGGUAGAGAUAGAAAUGUGGGCCCGGCCCCGGCAGCCGUAGCACUUUUCUACAUCGCUGCUGUGCCUCCCUCAUGGGAGUCAGGUCUUGCGCUGGUCACUGGACUGUGGACUUCAGAGGCCCUAGUGUCUCAGGGCUGCAUUUGAACUCUGGACACCUUGUUUUUCUCUCUGCUUUGCUCAUUGGUGUCUUGUGACUUUUAUGGCCUGUCAUGGAGGAACGGAAGGUGAGACACGCUUGCUGCACAUUUCCCUUCCCACCACCUGGAGCUUACCUCAGAGCCGUGGUUGCACCCUUGGUGCUCCAAGAAAGUUGCCUGACCUUUCAAGCUCCUGCAGUUCUUGCCUGGUCUGCACAGCACCCUUGUUAUCCUUAUGCUUUGUGCUUUAACUUAUUUUCAGAAGUUGGAUGGAUCAAAUCUGGCAGACAAUGCAGGGGCAGGGGAGCACCUUUGCCAAGGGAUUACUGGAUAUGGAUGCUGUUGCCUUGUCCUUGCCCCUCACUUGCUGACCAAACCACAUCCGUAACAUGCUACUGAAGUUUUGGGACAGCAUUCACUGAUGUUUUAGAAUUUCUUGGAAUCUAAAAGGCUUAUUGGAGGUAGCUUGUAUAAGGGCAAAGUCUUCUUAAAAGGUUGCAUGGGUGGGAGGUGGCUUGUUUUGGAGUGAUAAUGUAUGAGUGACCUGGGUUUCAGAAAUGCAACUGAACUGGGUGAGGAGAAGGCACUGAAAAUAUGAUUUGAAGUUGUUCUAAAUUUGAAUUAUUCUUAAGUCUCAGUUGUUAAGGUUUGGCUUCAAUGCAGAAUCUCAUUUUGCCGGCUCAUGGCUGAUGAAGUAUUUGUAGUGCUAUCCAUGCAGUAGCUUGGUGGUCUUGAUAAAUCCGUGUGGGAAGGGGGAUCAUAUGCUUUAAUCACUGCUGACAGCAUGGAACUAGAACUAAGACUGGUGCUCCUGCUGACGCCCUGUCAUCUUACUGUCUGAAACAGUGAGACCUGGGUACCUCCUCUGAGGAACUCCUCUGAGAGUUUUGCUGGUUAUAGCUUCUUCCCUGAGCCUUGUUUUAUUUCAUCGUGUUAAACUUAGGUGUUCUUGCUCUUGUUCCUUGAGCCUUCUUCUUUCCUGUGGAUCACUUUUUUUUUUUUUUUUUUCCCCAAGCACCUUCUAGAUGUAAAGAACAAAAUUUUGCUAAGGCUUUUAUUUAUUUACUUAGUUUAUAUCUUUGCUCCAACUGAAAAUUAGCCCACAUCCUUGGGGAAAAAAAAAAAAAAAAAAAGUCUCCAUGGCCAGACAGUAUGUUUACCUGAGGCCUUCUGAAUGUAAGCAGCUCUUUUUCUUCAUUUCUGCAUCCGUGGCUGCUGCAUUUGGGCUCAUUCUCAUUUGCUGUAGCCAAAGGUUUUGCCACCCUGCUAUUAUCAUCCUAUUAUAGCAUUACACUGGGUCAUGCUGAGGUGCCUGGGAGGAUUCACAAUCUUAGUGGUCCCUUGCAUGUGUGGGCAGGGCACAGUCUUGCUGAUGAGAUUAAGCUUUGUACAGUGUGACUGAAGAGGGGAGGAUGAAUGCUACUUCAUUGAUUUAUCCAAUGGUAGUUUGAGGUUUCAAAAUAUUCCCGUCUAAAAGGAAGGAUCAGCGUUACAGGAUUUCUUCAUAUUAGAAAAUGGGAUUCAGGUUGCUUCCCCGUGGCAGAUGAAAUGGGGAGUUGGAAGCAUCUCUGUGUGCUCCAGGUGACUGGUUCCAUCACCGAAGAAAUUGAUAUGCUAAAUUGAAGAGCAUACUACACAAAUCCUGCUUCCCCUAAAUAAAGUGUCCUCAAAAUAUGGUGUGUAUGGGAUGAAGGGAGGAAAUAACCAGUGGAGAUGUAUAGUCACAGAGGAAAGCUACUAAAUGGCGUGUGAAAUUUGCUUCAGUUCAGACCAGGAAGUGUGUCUGCCUGAGGGAGCAGAAGGUCAGGUACAGUUCUUUUGGAUUGCGGGAGCCCUAUGCAUGUGGCACAAGGGUUCAGUGCAGUGACCUGUUGGACAUGAUCAUUGUUUGCAGCUGCUGCAAGGUGGCUGCAAUGGCUACAUUUACAUAUUCACUUAAUGAUAGAAAUAGGUACAUAAACCACUGUUGAACUAAUGCACAAAAAGCAAUGGGAGCAGGAGUAACAAGAAGAAGAUUCUUUGCCCUCAGAUGUUGCUGAGCAGCUACAAGAAGUCAGAGGAUGCAAGCCCUGUGUAUGUACCCUUUAUGUUCACAAAAUUUACAGGUCUGUUAAUCAAAACUGCUUGCAAAUACUCUUUGAAUAGCCUAAGUCUUAACUAGAACUCUACUUUGUUACAGAUUUGUGUCCUAUGAGGAGGUGCUAGUGGAAAAUUAAGUGUAUGCUAGCAAGAGCAUGUCUUUUCUGGCAUUCUUCAUUUCAUAGCAGAAGGAAAGGUACCACAGCCUUACUGUUGCCUAGCAAAGCACUCAUGUUGUAGCUGUGUCUUUAGAGGAUCUGGGCUAUAAGCAUGAUUAUUUCAAUAUAGAUUAAGCCUGAGCUGCUGUUAAGACAUACAAAUUGUACUGUAGGUAUUCCAUAGUACAAGUGUAACUAGCCCUGUGAAAUAUAAUCUAACUGCAACAUCUGAGUCAGCCUUCCUUCUAAAGUGCUCAGAGAUUCCUAUUCACGUUUACAGGUAAGGCCAGGUUGCAUGGCAGAAAAGAUGAGAAGGUGCAGUGUACAUGUUUCCCUUCUAGAUUUAUACAAGAACAGAUGUUUCAGGUAUACUGCCAGCCUUAUAGGAUGGGGUCGGUGUCUCACUACACAAUAUUUAGGACAACAAGGGUUAGAUCACAGAAUCAUAGAAUUGUAGGUCCUGAUGAUUAAUAUUCUGCGUGGCUCAGAUAAAUCUUGCCACUGUCUGUUGCCUUUCUGUAUCUGUUUCUGUAACUUGCUUUGCACUGUCACUCUUCCUCAUCUGUGGGUGCUGCUGGGAAGAGGGAAUGUUCUCUCAGUGUAUCUGGAAAAGGGACUGAAAAGGAAACUAUAAGAUAUUUCCAAAGUCACAGAGUCAGUGCUGCCUUCUGCUGUCUUGCUACAGAGCUCAUUUCAGCCUGUGUUCUGUGCCAUCAGGGAAGGCAGCCUUCCUCUGGAGUUCAUGUGGCCCACCAUAUCACCUUGCACAGUGAGUAAAACAAGCUGUUUCCUUCCAGACAGGUGCAGAGGAAGGUGCAUGAGCAGCUUGGACUGCACUGGAGCAACAAUCAUGCAUUUAACUGAAAGAGCAAGGGCAGGCAUGCCAGUUAUGUCACCAGGUGGUGUGCUGUGACCAGUCACAUGGCAGGGCAAUAAGAACCCACAUGAAAUUUUGUCUCCAUAUAUAGAAAAAUAAUAGUAUCUGUAUUAUCAGGCAUAUUGGAGCUCUUUACCUCAAUUCUAAAUGCAGCUUCAAGCUUACCUAUUGGCUGCUGAGUGUAUAGUAAGAGAGAUAUUAAAGGAAUAAGAGUAGGCAUUGGAGUGGAAAAUGGAACAACUCUAGCUCUUUGAUAGUCACAACAAAAUGGCUUUAAAGAAAAAAGUAUAAUAAGAAAAUAUGGGGUUUGAUGGACCCUACAUGCAAUGAAAAAAAAAACACCUGAAAAUCAAGAAUUUCAGCUUCAGCAGAGCAGGAUGAAAUCAAAUCUGCCCUGAGAUAUUUUUUGUGUUUUAUGUUUUACUAGCACGUUCCCUUUGGUAAGUUAAUUUAAAAUUCAGCAUUGUACAAAUUUUGAUUGUGACAAUGGAAAACAGUAUAGUGCAUUUGGAUUUUUUUUCAUUAUUAUUCACAGAAUUGCAGUGUUGCAGGGGUUGGGAGGGACCUCAAGAAAUCAUUGAGUCCUCCCGCCUGCUAAAGCAGGUUCUCUACAAUAGGUCUCACGUCCAGACGGAUCUUGAAUCUCCAUAGAAGGAGACUCCACAACCACUCUGGGCAACCUGUUCCAGUGCUCUGCCACGCUUACCAUAAAAAUGUUGUGCAUGUUUUUAUGGGACUUCCAAUGUUCAAGCUUUAGAGCAUGGCUCCUUGUCCCAUUGCUACACACCAAUGAGAAGAGCCUGGCCUCAUCCAUUUGUCGCCAACCUCCCUUGAGAUAUUUGAAAACAUUUAUCAUGUCCCUCCUCAGUCGUCUUUUCCCCAUGCAGAACAGACCCAGGUUACUCAGCCUUUCCUCAUAAGGGAGAUGCUCCAGGCCUUCUAGUACUGAAAAUAAGGCUGAAUUUCUCCAAUUUGGAAGCACGGUGUUAUGAUACAUAACUCUCCAAUGUAUAUUAUUACUUCAGUAAUAUAUUGUCUUUAAAUAGUUGUCUGGGGACCUGGUAGAACUGCAGUUUUGUGCUGAAGUGAUGCAGUAAUCCUGAGCCAAGAGUUCAAGACCAGGCUCCUGAAAUUAAAUACCUGGAUCCAUUCAGAAACAACUAGAUAUACUCAGUCUUCCUGAACAAUUCCAAUGUAACUAAAAUGUUACUGAUUUGUGUCUGUGGGCUUCUUAAAGCCAUAGGUUCAGAAUUAUAGAUUAUUUGAGAAUAAUAGUGGAGGGGGGAGUGUUGGAAUUUGGUAGUUUUGUUUUGUUUUUGACAAAAUAAACCCUUUAACUGUCUUGAUUGUAGGAAAGGUUUGAAGUGGGACAGAAGUGUGACAUGGCUCCUGCAGCAGAAGACAUUUAAAAAGUAAUCCCAAACUUCCUUUGUCUCAAACAAGAGAUUUAAGAAGAAAUUGCAUAGGAGAGACCUGACCUAUACACCUAAGUUCAAGUUUAUUUGUGAGGAGUUGGUUUUCAAGAAUGGUUUGGUGGAGAUGCUUGUUUUGUGCCUAGAGAUGCCAGGAAAUAUCUGAUGCUGAAAUAUCUGUAUGUCUUGAGCUCAUAAAAUUGUUGGAGUUGCAAAAGGGGGCUUUUCUGAAUGUGGACAGAGUGAAAAAUAGGCUGCUGACUUCUGUGAAGUUAUGGGGCAUGUACUUUCAUCAACUGGACAGUAAGAUCACUAGAAUGUAAGCAUGAUACAAGAGUAAAAAUGAUCCGGAAUGUGUUGAAACAAUUAUGAACACCACAUUGUAUGAAAAACAUAUCUGUUGUUUGUGCUAAGCAUCUACAAUACAAAAAUAAAAUACCUUAGGAACACCUUUUAUAUCAUGAAGAAUUUGGAGGCUAUAGACAAAGUGAGGGAUCUGAAUGAACAGUUAAUACUUUUUCUGUUGGUGAAGGGAUGGCUUAAAUAAGACUUUACCUAUAGUUGCAGUCUGUUACAGAGUUUAAAACAGAGCUUUGCAUGUUGAUUGCACUGAGUGGGCACUGGCUUACUAAUCCUGAGGGCACAUCUGUGAGGUAGGAGAGGUUGUGGUUCGCUCAGCUGGGCAGGAGCUGUUAAUCGAAGAGCCAGAUCUAAAAGGGUCCUUUCCAACUCUAACAAUUCUAUAAUUCUGUAUGAAAUCAAAGUAGGAGAUGUGUUGCUGAUUCUACUUUCUUCUUUCACUAUUUUUUUUUCUACCUGCUGCUAUGAACAGUUCACACAGGCUUGCCAUGCUUUCUGCUCAGCUGGCAAUAUUUGCAUCCUCAGCAAAGUAACGGAUGAUUCCAUUUUGCCUGCUUUUGGUACUGGUGGCUGGCCAUUCCUAGCUUCAAUGCAAGAAAAAUCAGAAUAGGAAAAGGAAGCCAGAAAUCACACAUGUAAAGCAAAAACCCUCCUGAAGCCCUGGUAUGAACAGUGACACCUGUCUGGAUUGCACUGCAAAAGCUGCAGCUGUGACUGCUCCUGGGAAAAUCUCUUUAGCUACCACGGGGCCUAGAGCCACUGGAGAAGGGUAAAGGUUAAGCCCUUCUUAGGCAAUUAAUCAUCCUUUUCUGGAUGACAGAGGUGACAUUUCUUAGUAGCUACUGGAGCGAGGUUGGAGCUCUAGCCCACUACCAGCUGCUAGUUGCUUGUAAAAACAGAGUGGGAAGAAGCAUCAACUGUGUAGAGAACAGUCCAAAGAUUUGUGCAACAACCCAAAAUACACAUGGUCCAGAAUUGAUUUCUCUAGCCAGGCUUCACCCCUUCCGGUCACACAGGUGAAUUGCCUUCACCUGUUCUCCCAGGGCUGACCUGGUCCCUUCUGCAGGUGAUCAAUCGGUGGUUCAGUCCGUGACUCAACAGUUCCCAUACAUUACCUAGCAGAGGUUUGGUAAUGUUAUGGUAGUUUGUAUUUCUCUGUAUAGUAUGGACAGAGGAACAUCUAUUAUUGGCAAGGGACUGCCAGCAAGCUGCUCAGGGAGGAUAUUGCCCUAAUCAAAUGUGCCACUAGCAGUAGCUGGUAGGAUGGCCAAGUUUAUUGGAGUUACUGACUGUGGUGGUGAGAAGCCAGACUGUACUCAGCACCUGGUUAUAUGCUUAAUAUUACAUACUGAUGUAGCAUCUCAAGAACACCUCCAUUACACCUUUCUGUCUCUUUUGGUAUUGGAAUUGAAAUACAGUAACGGACUUAACGGACUCGGAUGUAUGGGGAAGGUCUGCAUGCCUCAGUACAGCCUAUAUGUUGAGAAUAUUCUGCUCUACAGUGUGGCCCAAAAGAACCAUGUGAUCUGUCUGUUUGUUUUUUUCCAGUAUUUGAGGUCUCCUAUGCCACCAUAAUCUCAGAUAGCAGAGAGAUGCCUGUGCAAUCUUGCUAUGAAAUUUCAGAGGGAAUAAGAGUGCCCCAGAGAACCCAGACAGGACCAGUGCUUCUCUGCAGGACACUGAAGGUUGCUGGGUGGGAGGUAAUAGGAGAAAGGCCACUAGCAGGACAGAGGUGUAAUGGGUAACAACACAAUAGAGCUGGAAGACGUUGCUAGGUUUUACAUGAUCAGGAACUGCAAGACAAUUUCUUGUUUGCUGUCUAUGGUGUGACUUUACGUAGCUUCUAGCUUCCAGUGAAGCAACUUUCACAACCUGCCCAUUUCUGGGCCAUGUUUACUCAGAGAAAAUUUUUGAAAUACAGAAGCUUCUUUUUGUUCCCCCUUUUUUUUUCUGCUCUGAAAAAUAAACUGAUUAGAUCCUGUAUUUGUUCUUCUAGCAGAGCAGUUGCUGCCAUCCUUAACAACAGCUUCUCAUCCACUGAAACCAUGUUAUCACAUCCCAUUCUGCUUCCAGACUAAAAAAAUCCUGCUCCCCACUCUGUCCUGGGCCUGUUUCCCACAUGCUUUGUCACUGCCAAUGUUCUCCCUUUCAUUUUCAGUCAGCAGCUUUCAGUCUGUGUUCAAGUUACCCAGCUGCACAGCUGGCUCUGGGCAGUCCUUGCUUCAGCUGUGUACAUAACUGCUUCCUUACAGCCUAAGCCAAGAUGUCAAAAGAACACAGCUAAUUCACUGUUGCUAAUAUUGCCAUUAAUAUUUAUUAUAAAAGUAGCACCUUCUGUUGUCAGUUAUUAGUUUCAGGCUACUGCUGAAAGAAAUGAGGCUUGUUGGCAUUCCCUCUUCCCCUAAGCCAUCUUCACAUCCCUCCCACCUUCCCAGCAGACUCAGAUUUGGUUAGGUGUCCCUAACCAAAUAUUUUGACCUGUUCCCUGGACAAGACAAUACAAAAGCUGCCAAACAAUGGAUGAGGACCAGCCUCUGCCUGCUGAUCCUUCUCUAGAGUGACAGCAAGAGCUCCCUGCUGUACUCAGCUAUAGAAACAUUCUCAAUUUUGAUUCCUCUAUGUCACAUUUUUUAAUGAGCUAGUUCGUUCCUGAGUGAGUAAUGGGGGACUGGCAGUGCAAGAAGUAGCCCUAUUUUCUCAAGAAACUACAGAAAAGAAACAACAAGCCUGACAAAAAGACGUAAUUAAAUUGAUCCUUGAAUUUCAGAACAUAUAUUUUAGUAAAGAUCAAACAGUGCUUUGAAAUUCUCUUCUGAUUUUGAAACAUCUGGCUCAUUCUGGUUAUAUCAAAGUAGAAAGAAAAUCAAGGAGAAAUACCAUUUUGGUUAAGGCAAAAGCAGAGAAGAAGCAAAGUAGAGUGAGCCUGUAUUUAUAGAGAAGAAAAACACCUCUUUUUCCACUGCUUUUAACACCGGAGGGGAGGGCUAGGAUGGGAUAGCUCUGCCCCUUCCUGCGGCAGGUCUCACUGAAUGUUUUUUUUAAAGCUAGAAGAAGGCAGCCAAAGGAACAAGGGAGAGCUUUUGCUCCCCUUCUGUCAUGGGUCUAAUGUGAAGCAAUUCCUGCAGAAACUAGACUGUGUUUGAGGCAGUUCAGGUGAAGAUUAGGGCUGAGUUUCAUCUGUCCCAUCUUUAUAUCCACAAAAUAGGUGCCUCCAUCUGAAUUAUGGCUAGACUGGAGAGGCACUGGAGAGACACGGGCAUUGUUAGGCAGCAGUUUGCUCACCUGUCUCAGAUGUCUGCCUUUGGAGUGGUAAGCUCAUGCCCUAGAAAUGCUUCUCUAAUAAAUAUUAAACUGGGGGACUUUUCUUGUUUCAUUGAAUGAUUUGUUCUCAAUUUGUUAUACAAAAGACUUCUUGCUUUUAAACAGCAUUUUUCUAUUCUUGUGUGUUUUCAUUUUUAAUAAAGAAUUAAUCCUUGCUCAAAAUGAGGAUGUUCUGGUGUUCUCUGAGAGCAAAUUUUGAGAAUUUGUGAGGACUUCUAUUUUUGAAGUUAUGGGAUGCUAGGCAAGCCAUCCUGGUCUCUUCAGCAGUUCAAACACUAGUCUUGGGGAAAAUAAGCAAAAACCAGGCUAUACCUCCAACCUUUGCUGGAGUUACACAUGAGGUCUUUGACCAGCAGACACAGCAUAGAUGUGCUGCAAACAUGGUGCUAAAUAUGUUCUUCACAAAUAUUUACAGUUAAAUUCAUUGUAAGAAUGAAUCAAUAUUUAAUCUGAAGUAGCGUUAUGAAAUGACAAAUUAUAUCUCAGUCACUGUGAUGACAUGCGUCAUCCAGGGCUAUGUAGCUUUUUUAGCUACAUAGCUAAACAUUUCCUCAUGUGUAUGCCGUUUCUCAUAUGUUUUCUUGCUUAUGUAGAAAACCUCUAUUUGUAAUAAUUGAAAAAAAAUAAAAUAAGGGCUUUUAGAAUUUCUUAAAUGAAAUUAUAAAUGUCUCAAUGUAAAUAUACAUGUUUAGUUAUUGUACAUAUUACUAUAAAUGGAAAUAUACAUAUGUAUCAUUAGAAAACAAGGUAACAGUCAAAUAUUUUAUCCCUAUAGCAAGAAGUCAUACUCUGAGCUGUGUUUCAGAGUGGCUGGUCUUACAGAAGUGUUAUGUGCCUUUAAAGUGGAAGCUCUUGCUUGUCAGUUUCCUGACAUUCAGAGAUGUCCCACAAAAAACUGGGACUAGUGGGAAAAGAGGCUGUGAAGUUUGUGUUACUGUGGGAUGGGAUGCUACAGAAUGAAGUGAAUCCUUAAUAUUUUAUUAUGUUGAUCCACAACGUGAGAAGUGAAUGGUGGUGGUAUGGUAGUAGACAGUGAACCUUCCUACCCAUAUUCCGUAACAUUUUGUUUCUGUGCAUCAGAAGGGCAGUAUGACAAAAUGGCUUCUGAUACAAAGUGAGUAUGAAGCAUAGGUAUGAAACUGAAUUCCCCCGAUAUAAAAAAAAUUGCACCCACUGACGUUCAUUGACACUUGUUGAACAUUUAUGGAGACCAAACAGUGGAUGUCGGCACAUCAAGGCAGGGAGUGGUAUAUUUCAGCAAUGGCAACAGUGAUAUUAGGUCACCUCUGCUGGUGCAGAUUUUUUUUAAUUUUUUUUUUAAAACAAGCUCAGCAUGCAGACUCUUGUUCAUUGCUGGCAAAAACUUUUAGCUAAUGGUGGUGACUGUUGAAAAACUGUGUUUUGUAACUACUCUAUCAAGUAGCAUUAUUGUGCUAUUUAUCUGUUGUCAUUUCCAUAGAGAUAUAUAGAAACUUUUGGAACAACUUAUGUAGAUACAGACUACUACUAAUAUAUAGCUAUGGUCUCCAGAAGACCAACUGCAGGGUCAAGGAAGCAACAGCAUAGAGCCACAGUGUCACAGCCCAGUAAGGGCUUCUCUUCAUCUGUCCCAGCUGGACCCAAUUUCUGGAUGUAUUCCAGAGGAACACAUCUUCUGCUCAGCUCUGAAAAACCAAACAGCUGCUGCUGUGUCCGCACUAGCCCAUGCAAUUGCAGCAGCAACAUGAUCCUCACCUAAUCACAAACUUGGAGGGGAAAACCCAUAGUUAUUCAUUCUCUCUAAGCCAUAUCUGGGUUUCUUCUGGCUUUUCUCAUGAUUCAUGGUUCACACCUACUGGGAUGAAUAUUUAUAUACAUAUUAUUUCCUCUCCCCCACUCCUACCUAUGACUCUGCACUUCACUGCAGCUCUGCCCAGGGAUACCCCUGCUGGAAACUGGCUGACUCAGCACUGAGAGCCAUGAUGGGGUAGCAACAGCACUUCAGAGCCUGAGGAAUGUCAAGAUCUUCUCAGGUUACAUCCUCAGGAAUUCACCUGCUCUUCCCAUGCAUUAGUUGCAUGCUGAAAUGGAAGGUGCAGUUAAAAUCCACUGUUGUAUUAAUGUUAGCAGCUACCUUACAUAUUACCCCAAUGAAAGCAGAUGCCUGAGGUGUAUGGGCAGGACAUGACUGCCUAAAGCCAAGCCCUGAAUAUGCUCACAGUAACCUCUGUGCUGAGAUGAAACAUCGCUGUCAACUCUGCUAGGCAGCUUCUUAGGUUUCAGGGGUACAGAACAAGUACCAUCAUAUUCUGCCUUUUUCUUUAACCUUUCUAAGAAUAUGAGGUCCAGUAUUAAAUGUGGAGGUUGGCAGCCCUGCCUGUGGCAGGGGAGCUGGAUGUUGAUGAUUCUUCUGAUCCCUUCCAACCCAAAACAUUCUAUGAUUCUGUAAAAUCACGUUUAGUGAUUUUUAAUGUUUACUUCUUUAGACAUCUUCUGUUCAACCCCACUGUGUCCCCAUUGCUGUUGCUAUUUCCCUUCUUGUGAUAAUUGGCUCUUUUUUGAUAGAGUAGUUCAUGUUUUCCUUUUCAAGCCUAAAGUCACAUUAAGGUUUGAUCCUGCAGAUGCCUGAAAUCUCUCUAAUGCAUAAUAUAAAGUGUUUUGCAUGGUAUUUCUGUCUGAAGGCAUAAAGAGAAAUGGAAGGUCAGCUGCUUAAGAAAUCAGGCAAGUAAAUAGCCCAGGAGAGAUAUCACCUUAAACACACAAGCCAGGCGCAGAGCUGUGGGAGGCAACUCUCAGUUCCUGUCCUAGCAUCACAGUUACUAGAAACAGUAUCAAAACAACCAUACAUUAAAGUAGGUCAUAUUAGUCUCAAACAAAUGUUUACUGGACCUCAACCUAGGGUUGUUCUGCUACUGUUGUCAUCAAAAAUUCAGGAAGAAAACACAAACUGUUGAAACUGCUGUUAGAAAGCAGCAUUCCCUUAUUCUCCUAAUACAUACCAGGCAACUCAAUAAAUCAAGAGCAUGCUCUCAGUGUGCAGGUUCUAUGUUUAAACAGCUUAGACAUACUUACAUGACACAUCAGUAUACAAAUUAAUUAUUUUAUAAGAAUUUGCAUUAAUAUAUGCAAAUGUCCUUCUGGGUGUGCGUGGUCACACCUAUUGUGGUCAUAUGACUAUGCACUUCCUUCCCUUUAUUUUCUUCUUUCUCUUCAUCACAGUGCCCUUUGGCUGAUCUCUAGCUAUUUUUCCAUGAUUUGGCAGACUUUCAUUGCUUGUCGUGCCAUAAUGAGCAGCUUUCUAUCCUAGUAGAUUGACUCAAAACAAUUUAAGUAAAACCCAAGAAAAAGUCCUUGCACCUGAUGGAUACAAAGAUAAAGAGUAGUCUGUUGUGGCUUCAGUGAAGCAUGGAUUAUUCAAAAAAAAAAAAAAAAAAAAAAGGCUGUUUAGAUACUAAGCAAAAAUAUACUGGAAAAUUUUAGAACUAGUACACAUUAAUUUCUGGUCCCUAAACCAGUAUCCUAGUUCCUAUUGCUAAACCAGUCUGUAUCAGAACCAAAACACAUAGCAUCAUACCAGGCACUCUGAAGAAACCCAUUCCAUUCAAACUAAAACUAAGACACUUUACUGUUGUGCUUGAUUACUGUUAAGACCUUUGGCAACAUGUUUGUUGUGCUCCAAUAAACUAUGUCAUGUAACAGGAAUCAAAUAUUUUUAAGUUACAGGCUUUAAAAUUAGUACUAUCUUUUCUUAUCUCUUUUUAAAAGGUUAAAUGGGAAAAGGAAUCACUCUGAUAUGAGUUGCAGUGAUACUAUUAAGCUUGCUAAGUUUCACUGUUGGGUAGCCCUGUGUCCUUACACUGAGCAGAUAAGGUGAGUUCUGUCAAGUCUUUGUAUUAGGUUAAUAAAGGAAGCUCUGCUCUGAAACAUCUAAUUUUGUGCAAGCAAAUAUUGUGCAGUCAAGGUAUUCUGCUCACAAAAAAGCAAAAUUGCUUGUGACAGGAUCUUGGCAAUAAAAGAAGUAAUUUCAAGUAUGCCAAUAGUCAUAAACAAAAAGAAGAGUUGAACUUACCCAACCAUUGAGGGACUAUACAGCACUCCUUCUCUGGAAACAUCCUAGAUCUAUGAGGUGGUCUCCUUUCAGUGGCUGGCCUUUAUAUGAGCCUAGGGUGGCUCUAUGCUGGGUCUGUGCCUUCUGGUCACAUGGGGAGCAAAGGUGCAAAUAGUUUGCUUGUGCUCCUGUCAAUGGUUUCUGGGCCUGUUAGACCCAGUUCCAUGACAGAUGGGGCAGGGGGACCCAAAGACCCAUGGCCCAGGAGAGGGGGGUGGGGGGAAAAGGGAAAAUGUAGGGAGAUAGGCCUAAAAACAAAACAGCAGCAACAAAGCUAAUGGAGAAAAACUAAUUUACUAAAUAUGAUAUCAGAAUGCAAGAUAACACGAUAUAAUACAAUAUAGGAAUUGAAGAUUAUAAAUCAAAUAAAAUGAGGGAGAGAGUAUCCAAAACUGAAGACCUUACUCUAAUACUGAAGGCAAGAUGGCUAGGGAGUGUACACCACAGAGAUGAGCAGUAAAAUAAAGGAGAGUCUCAUGACUUGGGAGCAGUUUUAUCUUUCCAUCUAAAUGGAAAACAAAUACAGAACAGUGGAAGUCUUCUGGGAUAUGUAGUUCUUCUCUUCUGAGAGCCAGGUACCCAGAAAAAUUGACAAUCCAUGAAACUGGAGGAUUAACUCUUUAACUCCCAGUGCUCUACAUGAUGUUAUGAAGUAGAAUACCAAUAACAAAAAACAUAAAACCAUGACAUUCCACCCCUUUUUCCACAUCACUACAUAAUACUUAAUAUAUAUGCCAACAAACAAUAAUUAAGAUGCAUUAAAUACACACACACAUAUAUAUACAUACAUGGAAUUACUGACUGCACUCCUCCAACGCUAAAUUCCUUUGUGGUACACAUUCAACAUCCCCAUUGUUCUGCAUCACUCACCAAGUGGACCCAGGUCCCUGAGCAAACACAGUUCUACAGUUUUGCCCUUUCCAGAAGCUGGAAGGACCUGAACCGCUUUUCCCAACAUGCUCUUUAUGUGUACUACAGGGACCUUAUCCCCCUCUACAGUAUGUAGGGAGCUGGAUUGGGCCUGAAAAAGGGGGCUAACAAUGAGUCUACAGUUUGGAACGUGCAUUCUCCAAAAGCCCACUACACCCAGAAGAGAUCGUGCCUCUUUCUUACUAGUGGGUGGAGACAUAGCAGUAUUUUUCUUGACCACAUCUGUUGGGAAGUGAUGACACCAAUUUUCAUAGAAUCAUAGAAUGGCCUGGUUUGAAAAGGACCAUAAUGAUCAUCUAGUUUCAACCCUCCUGCUAUAUGCAGCGUCGCCAACCACUAGACCAGGCUGCACAGAGCCACAUCCAGUCUGGCCUUGAAUGCCUCCAGGGAUGGGGCAUCCACAACCUCCUUGGGCAACCUGUUGACGUGUGUCACCACCCUAAUGUCUAUCAUUUUGCCAUUUUAUACCUAGGAACUGAAUCUCCUGUGUUGCACUUAAUAGUGAAACCAGCUUGCAGAAGGGUCUGAAUUAUUCUCUCUCCUUUCAUGAAAAUUUUUUCUGCUGUAUUGCCCCACACCAUAAUGUCAUUGAUGUGCUGCAGGUGCUUGGGAGCACUGCCCUGUUCCAGUGCAGUUUAGAUCAACACCUGGCAAAUGGCCAGGCUAUGUUUCCACCCCUGAGGGAAAAGGUUCUAGGUAUAGUGAAUGCUCCUCCAAGUGAAAGGCAACUGUAUCCUACAUUCUGUGGCCACAGGAAUGAAGAAGAAGGCAUUAGCAAUGUCAGUGGUGGCAUGCCAUUUGGCUGCUUUUCACUCCAAUUCAUACUGGAGUUCUAGCAUGUCUAGUAUAGCAGCACUCAGUGGCAGUGUGACUUCAUUCAGGCCGUGGUAGUCUACCAUCAGCCUCCGCUCUCCAGUGGUUUUACGCACUGGCCAUGAGGGGCUGUUAUAAGGUGGGUGAGUUUUGCUUAUCACUCCCUGACUCUCUAGCUGAUGAAUCAACUUACGAAUGAGGAGCAAGGAAUCCUGGCUAGUGUGGUACUGCUGUCUGUGCACAUUUUUGUAGCAGUUGGUACCUGUUACCCUUCUGUUUCUAACAACCCCACAACAGAUGGAUCUUGUGACAGGCCAAGCAAAACAGACAGCUGCUUAACGUCAUCUGUGUAUAAAGCAGCUAUUCCAAAGGCCAAUGGAUACCCCUUGGGAUCCUUGAAAUGCCCCCUUCUGAGGUAAUCGAUAUCAAGUAUACAUGGAGCCCCUGGACCAGUCACAGUUGGAUGCUCUUGCAAGUCUUUGCCAGUGAGGCUUAUUUCAGCCUCCAACACAGCCAACUCUUGGGAACCCCCUGUCACUGCAGAAAUAUAAAUUGAUUCUGUCCCCUCAUGAUCCGCAGGCAUUAGAAUGCACUGUGUGCCAGUGUCCACCAGUGCUGUAUAUUUCUGUGGUUCUGAUGUGCCAGGCCACCGAAUCCACGCAGUCCAAUAUACUCUAUUAUCCCUUCCCCCCCCUAUCCAGGGGCAGGGCCCCUCUAAUUUUUACUUCUAUUUUUCACCUCAUGAUCAGGGUGCUUACAGCUUUUGCAAUCAUCUUUUUGGAGGAGUUUGCCUAGGUGGCUAAUCUGUCUUGUAAUUCUCUUACCCGUGCUCAUAGUGUAGGAGUGGGUUUUUUAAGCCACUUCGUCAUAUCUUCUCUAUGCUCAUUUAGGAAAUUCCACAGGGCAGUGUCCAACGUAGUCUUACUGUUGUCACUGGUUUGAGCAGGAGGACAUCUGCUUUUAAUAGCUGAGAUAUUGGAUGAUACAGGUAAGGAGGAGAUCAAUUUGAUCAGCCCCUUCAGCAGGCUGUUUUUAUAAACCUGAUUCUUAUCAUGUUUCUCUUAUGCCAACACUAGUUCAUCAGGCUCAUCACAGUGAAGCACCGUAGACAGUUCCUCAAUCAUAUGUUUAUGUUUACAGUCCAUUCUAUCCAGUCUUUCAGUUGCUUGCUUUUGAAAUGUCUGAAACAUAAGCUUGUGGAAGGGUUAAACGUUGCUCAAAUUCAUGAAGGGGCCAUGUAACAUUUACACCACAGCACAUUCUCUCAAAUAAUGGAUACCUUUUUCCAUAGUAGUCCGUUUCUUUAUCUCAGGCAUCAUAUUGUCUUUGAAGGGGUAUUUUUCCUUUAUAGCUAAAAGCAUCUGCUUACAGAGGGUGAAGGCCUCAUCAUGACAUCUGUCAAAGGCUGAGUUCUUAGCAGUAUUUUUCAGUUGGCAAGCUUCUCUACUAUCUAGUGACACACUGUUGGCCUCAUUGUCCCAACACCGAAGUAACCAGGUGAGAAUGGGUUCAUUUGAAUGCCAUGAAAAAUCUUUUCUUGAACCUCGAAUUUCAGUCAUUUUCAGAGGUCAAGUAGUAAAGAUGACAGUGUCUUCCUCACCUUCUCUUCUUCUCUUUUAGUUUUUGCUGUUGCCUUCCUCGGUGUUGGUGACAGUGGUCUUGUUGAGGGCCACUCCCCUGGAUCGGCUUCCUCUCCUUCUUCCUCUUUCUUUCGUGCUAAACAAGGUGACAUUUGUUUCAAUUUCUGUCCUCUUCCAGGAGCAAAUGACACUAAUACUGUGCCUCCUGUGAUUGAUCAGGUUGUGCAGUUUCUAUGCUCUUUCUCUCCCGCUUGACUUGGAAUUUGUCUCAUUCAGUUAAGAGGGUGUCUCAUUCAGAUAUGAGGGUGUCUUCUUUGAUUUGAAGGUGCCUUGUUCAGUUUGGAAGAGGUGUUGCUCGGAGUGGAAAUUCCUUCUCUCGGGCUGGAGAUUUUCCCAUUCGGCUUGGAGACCUUCCUUCUCAGCUCAGGGACUGUCUUGCACGAUUUGUAGAUUCUCUUUCUUGACAUUCUUUCUUGACCAGGAUUCUCUCAGUUCGGACUCUCCCUUUCAACUCCCUUUCGUCUUGGAGACAUUCUCGCUCAGUUUAGGAGACUCUCUCCCUCUCUGGGAUAGUAUUGAAGUACGCAUAAGCCAGGCCCCCAAAAAUGUGUGCCCCCUCAGAUCUACCUGAGCCUCAACAUCCCUGUUUCAAAUGUCUGCUUAGGUUAUUAGGAUCUUUACUCUUCAGGAGUAAAGUUCCAUGACACCGGUGAUUUCCAGCUCUUUGAAGUCUCUCCCAGUUCCCUCCACACUGCCUGCCACUCAGUAUUCUCUGGCUUUGUGGAAGGAUCCUCAAAAUAUUGUAACUACAGAUACUGAGUGAGAUGAUGAGAAAUAUAUUCAGGGAGAUUAACAAUGUGAUCAUUAGGUGAGCAUUCAAAAAAUGCAUAAGGGACUAAAGUGAGAGACUGGAAGCCUGUUUAAAAGCCACAUGUUCUGUAAAAUUAGCAAGUCCCUCUGGGACGUAGCUUUCAAUGUUCAGUUCAUGCCACAUUGUAUGCAGACACCACAUAGAUAUUUCCAUCAGUGUUUUCAAUUUAUUAUAUAUACAUAUAUCUCCAAAGAGCAUAGUGGCAGACUUAAUAAAGGCCCAGUAUGUUCUGAGUAUUAAAAGAAGAAAAAUGAUGGAAUGCAAUCUCUUGAAGAACAGUUUUACAAGAGAAAUAUAUAUAUUUUUCUCCUUACAAAAGCAAGUUUCCACAGUGUCAAAACCAAAAAAAUAAUAAUAAUAAUAAAAAAAAAAUUGCAUAGCACUCAGAAAGUUUACACAUAUCCCAGAAUAUUGUCAGUCUGCCUGGACUUCAAGGCACUGUUUGCACUGCAAGUCCUUCAGUACUGAUAAGCAGUCUGUCAAAGUUCUCUGAGAGUACAGAGAGGUUAUGGUUCAUUCCCAAAGUACCCGUUUCCCAGCCAAUGCCACCAAUAAAACUCAAUGGUUUCUGGGCUGGUUCAGCCCCAUUCUGUGACUAAUGGGACAGGGGGACCCACGGACUCACGCCCCAGGAGAGAGGGAAUGGGGAAAAGGGGAGUAAUAUAGGGAGAUACAUGUAAAAACAGAACAGUGGUAAUGAGCUAAGGGAGAAAAACUGGAAGAUUAGCUCUUUAACUCCGAGUGCUCUAUGUGAUGUUAUGAUAUGGAGUACCAGUAACAAAAAUCAUAAAAUCAUUACAGAUCCCUAGGCCAGCCACACCCCUUCACCAGGUGCUCAAUCACCAGUUUAAGACACAACCUUACCGUUCCCCUACAUAAGGCUAACUGAUCAUGCACAAAGACUGAGUUCAACCAGGAAACACAGUGAGGAAGACUAUUGAGGGUCCUGGUGUGAGAAACACUCAAAGUCAAAAGGUUAGGCAAGGAUCUUAGUGAUAGCAGCAAAGUUUAUUCGUUAUGGCAAUAAUGGGCUCACGCCCCCUUUUGGCAAGGGAGAAAUUGCUCACCAGUCAGCGAAAUUCAUUCUGUUAUAUACUUUAAACCCAAUGCAAGUAAUGAUCUCAUGGCACUCGCUCAUUGGUUGAGCGUCUCAGGCUCACAAUUUUCCCCAACACUGUUGCUAUGAUACAUUUCCAUAUAAGGUCUGUUACCAACCUGUUGGUUUUUUGAUAUAUUUUGUACUUUCCCAUGGAGAUACGAGGACAAUAUUUCCAAGAGUGAGCACAUCCGUUCUGUCCUGUGCUAGGCUCUCCCUCCACCCUGCAUACUUGCCUUACCUUGUACCUGUCUCAAUUCUACCCAAAUUUUAACUUUUUACUCUGUUCAGCAACUUUCUUAGUAGAAGAAAAUCAACUUACAUAGCUGUUUCACAAGAGGGUUAUAAGUUCAGUAAAGGCCUACACUACAUACAGAAAAUACUGGAAACUGCUACUGCAAAAACACAAUCUACCUCGCACACUGGGACCACCACAACACAGAAAGACUGAGCAUGUGUAAGGAGGCAGAACUCAAUGUUAAUGAUUUUGGGUGAAUUAUUGUAUACAUAUGUGCCAUUCGGGAAAAACUUUGCAUAUGUAACACAAGUACUGAAUAUAAGGUGAAGACAUUUUUGUGAAGACAUGCACAAAAAUUACCUCCAUACAUACAGCACUGAAAAUAAAGAAUGCUUGCUUUUCUAACACUAGAACUAGAAUCUUAAAAAAGUUUCAUUCAACAAAUUUACAAUAAGAGCUCAAUAAAAGAAGCAAAAGUAUCUAGUACAAAAACAAAAAACAGCAACAAAACACACGAAGAAAGCAUUUAUUAACAACUUGAUGUGCUGCCCUUGAUGUCACACUAUUCCCUCCCCAGACGCUCAUUUCAAGUCCUCCAUGAUCUUCUCUGUGUUUCCAAAAUGAGCUAUCAUGUUAAGUUAAACUUUUACAGAAGGAUUGCCACACUACUAGCAUGGCUUACAUACAAUGGCUUCUUGGUAGCUCUUCUUCUUGCUUCUUCUUUUUUGAAAUUCUCUGCAGAUUACUGUCUUCUGACAAUCUAUAGCUUGAAUUACACCAGUAGUGACUUGGCAGGGCUCUCAGUACAUUAUCUAUUAUAGGGAUCUGGGCAUUAGCUGUAGCUCUCCAGCUCUAACAGGAUAAAGAACACUAGUCUCCAGACCAGGUUCGCUUUUAUUGUUUGCAUUAUUGGUUUUGACUGUUAAUUUCCUUCUACCCACUGCUGUUCUUGUCUGUACUCGGAGUUAUUUUGUAUCUGCUGGUGCACAAGGCACCCAAGCUGAGAAAUCUCUAUUUUAUUUAUUUAUUUAUUUAUUUUGUGAUAUUAGAGUGUUAAAUCUAAUUUAAAAAAGCACAUAUCAUGGACAAAUAAGUUGUAUCUCACACACAGAAGCAGGAAUACCUGCUAAGGUGGAAAGAAAAAUAUGUAAUUUUCUAGUCAGUAUCAUCCCAUGCCUUUUGAAACAUCUCUCACAUGUGACAAUGUUGCCAUCUACAGUCUUAGUGAUUGAGUCUUGUCCCCAGUUUCAGAUUUCAAUGUAGUUAAUAAUACUGUAUAUUAUUAUCAGAUCUGUAGAUGUCCUAAAGUAGCUGAGGAUGACAGAGUUAAUUUUUGAUCUCACAGGCAAUAAAACCUUCGCACUGGAUACACUAGGCAGUUUAUUUUGUUUUUCAGUCCUUCCUCUCAUUCCACUCUGCUUCUGGAAUAUGGAACUGGAGCUUUGAUGUCUCUUUUUUUUUUUUUUUUUUUUUUGGCUGAGAAUUUUGCUCAAGACUGAAGCUCCACUUCAAGUUCCAGAUGUCCUGCUUAUCUGUGAUAAACAACCUUCCUGAGACAGAAUGUUUCUCUUCAAAGAUCCAAGGCUGGCAUAAGUAAGAAACAUCCUUUAGAUGAGGUAGAAGUCCAAAAUAGUAACCAAUGAGAAGGGAGUAGGUGUCCUGGUGCACAAAUGUGGAAUUAGUAAGCUUUGGGAUACCUCCGCAAAUGACCACUGAAGCACAAAUUCAAAUAUGUUAAAAUUCUCUCCCACACAAAUUCUCUCCCACACAAGCACAAAUUCAAAUAUGUUAAAAAAAAAUUGUACUUAAAUAAUCCUAUGAAUAUGUAAUAGGUAGAUGUGACUUAUGUAUUAGGCGUCUAAUGAAAAAGCUUGGGACUCUAAAUAGAAGUCAGUGUACAGACUCCAUGAGCUCAAUUCAUGGAGAUUUCCCACAUUAUAUCCUGUGCAGAAUAUAUAAAUAUCUCCUCUCUAAACACCUGUCUUUUGCAUGUAUUUUGUGCAGGAAACAUCCUGAAACACUUAAUUGCAGAUAUGAAUAUUAUUAGUGUAUCAGUCUGUGCCUCUACUAUGUUAUGGGCUUGUAGCAUAUACCAGUAGCACUGUAAUUCUAGAAAGCCAGUCCCAAAGCAGUUCAAUUAGCAUUCACCUAUUAAAUGGUACUGCUAAGUUCCUCCGAUGAUUUUUUAUCUAACCUGUGAGUGAAUGGUAAAGUAGAUGAGCUCUGUUGGGUGCUUUACUAAUAGGUCUCUGAGCAGCUCCAUGGCUCCAAUGUGUUUGAAUGUUCACACUGUGUUUUGGUACUUGGAUUUAUCAGUUUCUGUGUUUGUUGGAGAACCUGGGACUGAAUCCUAACUCCUCAUAUUGUUUAAAAAAAAAAGAGAGGUAAUGGAUGGUAAAGGACUUCAUGUAGUGUCCUUAAAUAUGUGUUUAGUGCAGCAGAAACUUCCUCUUUCCCCUGUAUUUUGGUCCUAAUUCAGUCAAAGAAAUUUAUUAUCUAGGACUAAACAAAGUUUGAGAAACACUAUCCAGAGAAGAGGGCCUCUUUAGGACUUCACUGAUGGAAUGGUGCUGCAUUUGCUGGAUUAAUGCUAACAGCACAAUGCUAUUUUAUAUAGGCAAGUACAUAUUAUUAUAUAUCAGUCGGUACACGUUUAUCUUUACAGGUAAGUUACUUGUCCCAGUGUAUGGAUGUAAAUGAAGAUGGCGUGUUUCAUUGUUUUGGAUCAGGGUAAUAUAUGGCAAGAUUAUCACUCCAGUAAAGCUAUCAGUCAGUAACACCGGUGCUUCACAGUAUUAGACCUGAGAAAUGCCUUUCCUGCAUCCCACUUGAAUGUUUACGUCAGAAGCUGUUUGUAUUUGAGUGGAAGAAAAACCCAAUUCACUGGGUGUACAUAGUGCUGCCAGAGGGAUUUAAGAGCAGCCCAUCUAUCUAUGGCAAUCAACUAGCAAAGGAGCUGGAAUUGUGGAGGCAGGAAAAUAGAGAGGGAAUUACGUUGCAGUACAAUGAUGACGUAUUGCGAGCCGGCAAGUCUUGAGAAGAAUGUUUAGAAUUAACCAUUAGGUGUGGGAAUAGCAGAAAGACUAUUCAGAGCAGUGGCUGUGAAGCAAGAUAAACAGCAUGAGAAAGCAAUGCUGGGAACUAAGGAUAUCUCUAGAGGAAAAGCAAGAGGAACGGCCCAUGGCUUUUAUUGCAUAAGCACCUGUAUGCAUGGUUAAAGAGUGUUUGUGGAAUACUUUGUUGAUGUGUAAAGGCAGAUGAAAAAUCUGGUGUGCUCUAGACCACAAAGCAAAAAGAAAGUGUCUUGCUGGACUCAAAUGCAGAAGGAAGUGGACAUGCUGGGCAGAAAUCUGGAAGCAGUAGUCAUUGCUGGACAUAAACCAAGAAAGAAUGGGUCUAGCUGGACAGAAACCAAGAUGGAAGGGGUCAUGCUCAGCCCAAAGCCAGAAGAAAUUGGACUUGCUUUGCAAAAACCAUGAAGGAAGGAGGAUUGAAGGGCUGAAUGCCAGAAGGAGUGUGGCUUUCUGGGCCCAAAGCCAGAAGGUAAGGUUCUUCCUUAGCCAAAAGAAAUAAAGAAUGGUUUUGCUGCUCCAAAAUCCAGAAGGAAGGGGGCUUGUAAGACCAUACCAAGAAGAAAUGGGGAGUGCUGGGCCACAAACCAAGAAGAAGGGGUUUUGCUGGACUGAAACCCAGAAGGAAGGCAGCUUGCUGGGAAGAAACCAAGAAGGAAGGUGGCAGGCUGGGCAGACAGCCAGAAGGAACAAGGCUUUCUAGGCCAAGACAGAGAAGGAAAGGGUCUUGCUGGGCAGAAAUACAAAAGGCAGAGUUCUUGCUGGACAGAAACCAAAAAGGAAAGGGGUACACUGGGAAGAAACUCAGAUGCAAGGGGUCUUGCUGGGCCCAAAGCCGGAAGGAAUUGGACUUGAUUUCUGUGGAUUUCUGGGCCCAAAGCCAUAAGGAAAGGUCCUUGCAAGGCUGCAACGAAUACAGAACAGGUUUUCUACUCCUAAACACAGUAGGAAGAGGACUUGUAAGGUUAUACCCAGAAGAAUGGGGGCAUGAUGGGCCACACACCAAAAAGAAGGGUUUUGCUGGACUGAAAUGCAAAAGGAAGGGGCUUUACUUGGCAGAAAUCCAUAAGCAAUAGAUACUGCUUGACAGAAACCAAGAAGGAAUGGGUCUCACUGGACAGAAAACCUUUUGGAAGAGGGGCUUGCUUGGCCCAAAGCCAGAAGAAAUUCCACUUGCUGUGCUGAAACUAUGAAGGAAGGAGGAUUGCUGGACUGAACGCCAGAAGGAAUAUGGAUUUCUGGGCUCAAAGCCAAAAGGCAAGGUCCUUGCUGGGCCAAAAGGAAAAAAGAAGGGUUUUCUGCUCCCAAACACAGCAGGAAAAUAGCAUGUAAGGUCUUAUGCAGAAGAAAGGAGGAGUGCUGGGGAACAAACCAGAAGGAAGGGAUCUUGCUGCACUGAAACCCAGAAAGACAGGGACUUUCUGGGGAGAAACUCGGAAGGAAGAGGACUUGCGGGAAAAAAAAGGCAGAAAGAUUUAGGCAUCCUGUGCCAAAACCCUGAAGGAAGGGAGGUUGCUCAUCUGUACCCAGAAAGACGUGGGAGUGCUGGACCACAGAACAAAAAGAAGGGGCUUUUCUGGACUGAAACUCAGAAGGAAGGUGAUUGCUGGUCAGAAUUGCAAAUGGAAAGGGUUGCUUCUUGGGCCAAACCCAAAAAGGAAGAAAGCUGGCUGGUCACAAAGGCAGAAGGAAUGGCCCUCUUCUCCGCAAAUCAAGUAAUAGCAGGUGCUUGCAUAUCAAUACACAGAAGAAAGAAGGCGUCCUGGGCCAGAAACCAAAAAUAAGGGCCUUGCUGGACUGAUACCCAGAAGAAAGGUGGCUUCCUGGGCAGAAACAAAGAAGGAAGGUGGCAGGGUGGGCAGACAGCCAGAAGGAACGGGGCUUCCUAGGCCAAAACGGAGAAGGAAAGGGGCUUGCUGGGCAGAAAUCCAUAAAGCAGAGUUCUUGCUGGGCAGAAACCAAGAAGGAAGCGGGUUCACUGGGAAGAAACCCAGAUCGAAGAGGUCUUGCUGGGCCCAAAGCCAGAAAAAAUUGGACUUGCUAUGCUGAAAGGGUGAAGAAAAGGAGUUUGAAUUGCCAAACGUCAGAAGGAAUGUGGCUUUGUGGGCCCAAAGCCAUAAGGAAAGGUCCCUGUUGGGACAAAAUGAAUAAAGAAUGGGUUUUCUGCUCCCACACCCAGAAGGAAGAGGGCUUGUAAGGCCAUACCCAGAAGAGAGGGGGAGUGCUGGACAACAAACCAGAGGGAAGGAGUCUUGCGGGACUGAAAACCCUGAAAAAGGGGACUUUCUGGAGCGAAAUUCAGAAGGAAAGGGGUUUGCAGGGAAAAAAGCAGGAAGAAAGGGGCAUCCUGUGUCGAAACCCAGAAGGAAGGGGUCUUACUGGACUGAAACCCAGAUGCAAAGGAAACUGGCUUGCUGGGAAAAAAGGCAGGAAGAUUGGAACAUCCUGUGCCAAAACCCAGAAGAUAGGGGUCUUGCUGGUCCAUACCCAGAAAAAAUUGGGCAAGCUAGGCCACAAAGAAUAAAGAAGGGAUUUUGCAGGACUGAAAUGCAGAGGGAAGUGGACGUGCUGGUUAGAAAUCCACACACAAUAGACAUUGCUGGACAGAAACUAAGAAGUGGAUCUUGCUGGACAGAAACCUAGAAGUAAGGGGACUUCCUGGGGCUAAACUCAGAAGGAAGGGGAAAAAAGGCAGGAAGAUAGGGUCAUCCUGUGCGGAAACCCAGAAGGAAGUGGGCUUGCUGGUCCAUACCCAGAAAGAAGUGUGAGUGCUGGACAACAAAGCAUAAAGAAGGGGUUUUGCUGGACUGAAACGCAGAAGUAAGGGGUCUUGCUGGGCAGAAAAUCUGAGGAAAGAGAGAUUUCUGGGCCAAAACACAGAAGGAAGGGGCCUUCCUGUUGAAGGUUAUUUGUGGUCAGAAAUGUAAAUGGAAGUGGUUGAUUGCUGGGCCAAACCCAAGAGGGAAGACGGCUUGCUGGACUUAAAGGCAGAAGGAAUGGGCUUUCCAGUGCCCAAACCCAGUAAGAAAGCAGGCCUGUAGCUCCAUAUCCAGAAACAAUUGGGAGUGCUUUGCCACAAAGCAAAGGAAGUGGUCUAGCUGGACUUAAACGCAGGAGAAAGUCAACAUGCUGGGCAGAAGUCCACAAGCAAAGGCACUGCUGGACAGAAACCAAGAAGGAAUAGAUCUUGCUGGACUGAAACUCAGAUGGAAGGGUACUGGCUAGGAAAAAAGGCAAGGAAAAAAUGGGCAUAAUGUGCCAAAACCCAGAAUGAAGGGGUCUUGUGGGUUCAUAUCCAGAAAAAAUCAGGUGUGCUGGGCCACAAAGCAAAAAGAAGGGGUCUUGUUGAACUGAAACGCAGAAAGAAGUGGAUAUGCUUGGCAGGAAUCUGCAAGCAAUUGACAUUGCUAGACAGAAACCAAAAGUAAUGGGUCUCGCUGCAAAGAAACCCGGAAGGAAGGGGACUUUCUAGGGCUAAACUCAGAUGGAAGAGCGUCUGCUGUGAAAAAAGGCAGGAAGAAAUGGGCAUCCUGUGUCUAAACUCCAUAUGGAAUGGUGCUUGCUGAUCUGUACCCAGAAGGAAGCAGGAGUGAGGGAGCACAAAGCAUAAAGGAGGCGUUUUGCUGGACUGAAAUGCAGAAGGAAGGGAACUUGCUGGACAGAAACUUCCUUCUGUUUUUAGGAGCAGAAAAACCCUUUUGUAUUCGUUGCUGCUGAACAAGCUCCUUUACUUCUGGCUUCAAGCCCAUGAAUCCACAUUCCUUCUGACUUUUGGAAAUGGAAGCCUCUUUUCUUUACCCUUUCAGCAUAGCAAGUCCAUUUCCUUGGGCUUUGGGCCCAGCAAGACCCCUUGCAUCUGAGUUUCUUCCCAGUGAGCCCACUUCCUUCUCACUUUCUGUCCAGAAGAACUCUGCCUUUUGGAUUUCUGCCCAGCAAGACCCAUUCCUUCUCCUUUUUGGCCUAGGAAGCCCCGUUUCUUCUGGCUGUCUGCCCAGCCUGCCACCUUCCUUCUUCGUUUCUGCCCAGGAAGCCAGCUUCCUUAUGGGUUUCAGUCCAGCGAAACUGCUUCUUUUUGGUUUCUGGCCCAGGAUGCCCCCUUUCUUCUGGGUAUGGGUCAGCAAGCCCCCUUUCUUACUGGCUUUCGGCACAGGAAGGCCCAUUCCUUCUGCAUUUAAGCCCAGCAAGCCUUCUUCCCUCUUGGGUUUGGCCCAGAAAUCAACCACUUCCAUUUGCAUUUCCGACCACAAAUAACCUUCAGUCUGAUUUUCUGUCCAGUAAGAGCCCUUCCUUCUGUAUUUCAGUCCAGCAAAAUGCCUUCUUUUUGCUUUGUGGUCCAGCACUCCCCCUCUAUUCUGGGUACAGACGAGAAAGUUCCUCUCCUUCUGGGUUUCAACACACGAUGCUCCUUUCUUCCUGCCUUUUUGCCCAGCAAGCCCUCUUCCUUCUGAGUUUCACCCCGGAAAGUCCCCAUCCUUCUAGGUGUCCAGUGAGUUCCAUUCCUUCUCGUUUGUUUCCCAGCAUGCCCCCUUUCUUCUGCUUAUGGCCUUACAAGCCCUCUUCCUUUUGGGUUUGGGAGCAGAAAACCCCUUCUUUAUUCCUUUUGGCCCAGCAGGAACCUUUCAUUCUGGCUAUGGGCCCAGAAAUCCACAAUCCUUCUGUCAUCUAGCCCUGCAAGCCCCCUUCUGUCAUAGUUUCUGCAAAGCAAGUCCAAUUCCUUCUGGGUUUGGGCCAAGCAAGCCCCCUUCCUUCUGGCUUUCAGUCCAGCAAUACCCCUUCCCUCCUGUUUGUUGCCCACUAUGCCCCAUUUCUUCUGGGUAUGGCCUUACAAGCCCUCUUCCUUCUGGGCUUGGGAGCAGAAAACCCCUCCUUUAUUCCUUUUGGCCGCGCAAGAACCUUUUCUUCUGGCUAAUGGCCCAGAAAUGCACAAUCCUUCUGGCGUUCAGCCCUGCAAGCCUCAUUCAGUCAUAGUUCCUGCAAAGCAAGUCCAAUUUCUUCUGGCUUUUGUGAGAACUCUUUUUUGUCUUCUGUCUCAAAGCUUGCUUCCUGAGGUAUUUUUUGUGAUAAGACUCUUAACUGAUUUAUGGAGGUGGCAAAUGAUGGGUGCUACUGUGUGACAAUCAACAUCACUUUGACAUUUGAAAGCACCUUCCUCCAGAGCUGCUUGCCUCCGGAAGAGAGUGCUCAGGAGUGGUUACUGGCGGAAGAUCUGGCCUAAUAGCCCCAUCUUGGUGUGGGAAAAUUGGGGAACAACACCAUCUUGCCCUGUGAAAAACAGGAUGUAGAUGGGCAUCCCGGCUCCCUCUUAUCUGCUGGCAAGGCCCGGAAGAUGAUAACAAAGGAAUUUCUGCUGAGAUCUCAGAGCCAGUAGCUGCCACUCCAAGGAGAGCUGACUCAACCACUUUGGAUUUGAGCUGUCACUCAAAAGAGAGCUGACUCAACCACUUUGGACUUACAAAUAAGUAUGUACUGCCAUUGUUGUCGUCACUGUGGUCACCAUCGUCAAGAGAACACCCAACGACCCACCACUACUGAAGAUCAGUGACUGAACUACGAACCACGUUGGACCAUGGUGGUAACUAUCUCCCUCCUGCUUCCUAUAUGGACUCCUUGCUUCUAUUUCCUAUCUUUUCUAUCGCCCUUCUCCCCUUCCCCAUCUCCCUGAACAGCUAGGAUGUGUAAUAAACUGGUCAGACCAA